GACGAACGCUGGCGGCGUGCUUAACACAUGCAAGUCGAACGGAAAGGCCCUGCUUUUGUGGGCUGCUCGGGUGGCGAACGGGGGAGUAACACGUGAGUAACCUGCCCUUGACUUUGGGAUAAGUUCAGGAAACUGGGGCUAAUACCGUAUAGGAGCUCCUGCUGCAUGGUGGGGGUUGGAUAGUUUCGGCGGUUGGGGAUGGACUCGCGGCUUAUCAGCUUGUUGGUGGGGUAGUGGCUUACCAAGGCUUUGACGGGUCGCCGGCCUGAGAGGGUGGCCGGCCACAUGGGGACUGAGAUACGGCCCAGACGCCUACGGGAGGCAACAGGGGGGAAUCUUGCACAAUGGGCGGAAGCCUGAUGCGGAAACGCUGCGUGCGGGAUGACGGCCUUCGGGUUGUAAACCGCUUUCGCCUGUUACGAAGCGUGAGUGACGGUAACGGGUAAAGAAGCACCGGCUAACUACGUG
rnacentral:rRNA from 1 species